UCCCUGGUGGCUCAGACGGUAAAGUGUCUGCCUACAAUGCGGGAGACCCGGGUUCAAUCCCUGGUUCAGGAA
rnacentral:tRNA from 1 species